UCCUCAAUAGCUCAGUUGGUUAGAGCAUCUGACUGUUAAUCAGAGGGUCGCAGGUUCAAGUCCUGCUUGGGGAGCAA
rnacentral:tRNA from 2 species